rnacentral:rRNA from 1 species
GGCAGCUGUUUUAGCGAUAGGGAAACACGUGAUACCAUUCCGAACUCAACUGUGAAACCUAUUCAGCGCCGAUGGUACUAGGCUUGAGCUUUGGGAGAGUAGGUCAUGGCUGCUU